ensembl:lncRNA
AGGAGCUGGUUCGGGGAGGCUGUGGCUUGAGAUGCUCCAGGCCAGCCUGGGCUCUACCUCUACUUACAGUAAGAAGGCACAGCUUCAGAAGCCUGUUUGUACACAGAGGCUGGGCAACCCAGGUCAACAGGACAUUGGCUUCCAGCUCUCCCAGCCUGAGAAUCCUGGAGCUACUCUUCAUCUUGACGCUGUGGCCAGGAGCCAGCGCCCUCCUCUACACCUGCCCUCUCUGGUAGACUCCAUCUCUGCUAAGUGGCUCUGCAAAGAGGUUAAAUAAGCAACCAUGAUCAGCUGGCUUUCCCAGAAAGGUGGAUUCUUACCAGCUGAGUCACCAGAGAAGCCCAAGAAUACUGGAAUGGGUAGCCUAUCCCUUCUCCAAUGGAUCUUUCCCACCCAAGAAUCGAACUGAGGUCUCCUGCAUUGCUGGCAGAUUCUUUACCAGCUGAGCUACCAUGGAAUCCCCUCUAUUCCCAAGCCAAAUUUCUACUUUGAUCCCAAUCCUCUUCCUUUCCUCCCUUUCUCCACCAAAGGCUUCCCCAUCUCUAUACACACUCAAGCCAAGGACUUCAGUAUCAACUGCUUCUGCUCUUGAUUUCAUCACCCCCAGUACCCAAGUAGCUAUCAGAUCCCAUCAAUUCUACCUGUGGAAGUAGCUUUCAAUUCCAUCUCCUACUUUAACAUUGAUUAACCCACUCAUUGACAGGGUUCCAGGGAAGACUCUCAUUCACUGCUAAGUGUAAUUUGGAACAACAUUUUUG